AGGGAAUGGAAUUCGUCAUUUCAUUUUAACACGUCCGGACUUCCCUCAUACCAUUCCUCUACUCUAAAUCUACCUUGCCAGAAGACAAAAACCUCUGCCGCGCCGGAAAUCAUCAUCAGCGGCGACGGAGAUCCAAAAUUCACGUAACUUGUACCCACAGAUUCGUCUCAUUCUCCUCUACCUGACUCUACCUAUCUCCUACUCCAAUUUCUUCUUUAUUGACCGAACCGAAAAGAUCAUUCUAAGAACUCUAGGUAUAAACUUCGAUUAAGUCCUCGUAUAGAGGUAAUCAAAUCCACAAGUUUGGGAUAAACGCUCACCUAAUCAAGGCCUAUACAACAGUGAAAAACGCGAGUCAAAUAGGAGAAUUCUCACGAACCCUUCGACGUCGACGACGGAGCAUACGGGGCAUUUGGAUAUCGAUCCGGUACAAUACGAUUGGUAGAUCACAGAGAUUACUGAAGCAACGUACACCUCAGAGUAAAUAUUGAAUUCCGGUUUGGACGGAAGUAGCCAACGGAGUCGUCGGAGAAGACGAACGACGCAACGGUGGCGUCAACAAACGCGGCUCUCAGAAUUUUGGUGUUGCCACUUCUCUUCGCCGACGUUUGUAGUUGGCUUGUGCGUUUGCAUCGUGUGGCUUUGUUCGUUGUCGUCGGAUUGUUUUGGCUUCGUCCCAUUGUAUGUUUACUGCACCUGCGUUUUGUUACCGUCGGAUUCACAUCGCCGUUUUCCGCAUUUCCAGUUGUUACUUCAUGUUGGUGUGCUCCUUUUGGUUGUGCAGCUUGUAGCUUGUAGUUUGGAUGUUGUUAUUGUUACGUUUCCGUGAAUGCUGUUUUCUGCUGAACAAAGUUCUUCCAAUUGUAUUUUUCCUUAUUUUAUUUGGAUAUGUUAUGGACUUGGGUAUUGUAUAUUGGUAAUUAAAUUUGGAUAAGCCAAAUGGAUUUUGGGUAGAUAUUAUGUGGAUAUGGAUUAGGUGGUGGAUAAUUGUAAAAUGGAUAUUUGAAACAAAAUUGGGUAAUUGGAUAUUAAGUGGAUUUGAAAUUGGAUUUGCACAUGGGCUUAAAAAAAAGAAAGAAUGGGCUUAUGAAGAUUUUACAAAAAAAGAUGAAUGGAUGUAUGUAUUAAUGCAAUAAGAAACCAGUAACCAAGAAUCAAAUGGUUGAUCAAGAAUGGACCUGGAUCCAAGAGUGCAAUGAGGUACGAAACCCAAUGAGCACCUGGUUAACGAAAUACGUGGCGAACCCUGAUUAUCAAAGCAUGAUCAUGCUUGAUCAAAUGCUUAAAAACAAGUAAUUUACCAUAAAAGUGAAAUCUUUCACCAAUGUCACAAACCAAGAGAUUAAGGUUUGAUCAAUUGAUCCACUUCAAGUUGUUGAUGAAUCCUAGUAUCCACCAGGUGCAGACAUAAAGCCACCGAUUCAAGUCACCUAUCUCCUUGUGUUGAACCAUGCUUAUGCAAAUGAAAUGAAUGCUCAGGAUGAUAUGCAAAUGAUUAGGGUUAAUGACCUAGAUGAUUAUUGUGAAGGAUAGGGUGAAUUUUGGGGUAUGACAGUUACGAACUCCCGAUUUUCAGGUUUCAACAAUCUUUCCUAACAACAAGUGACUUUGACGAAUGGUGGAAUUCCUACCAACAUCAUUCUUUCCCAAGUGACCAGUUUCUCCAAAACAUGGUCGACGCGCUUUCCACUCUCGUCGGCGAUAUACCGCCUCCGCCUCCAUCCGUUAACACUCCUGACCCAAAAAUCCAAAAUCCUCAAAUCAACGAAGCCUCCAAAAAGGUACAUAUUACUGAUUUAGUUUCCUCUUUUCUUGGGGUUGUACAACACUAACAGUUUCUGCUAUCAAGGUCGAAAGAGGGUCGUCCCCUCUAAUGAGCCGACUCUAGCGAAGCCCUCGAAGAAACAACGAACGCCUUUGACCCGCACUUCGCAGGUACCUGACGAAGUACUUGUAGUGGACGAUGAGGACUCUGACGGGAGUGUGCACUCACACAUUUUUUCUACGUCGAAAGCCCCGCCCAAAACUCCUCCUACCCCUGUAUGACGGAAGAAGGCUUAAGCCAAGAAGAAUCCGACAAAGGUGGCUCCAA